rnacentral:rRNA from 1 species
UACGGGAGGCAGCAGUGGGGAAUAUUGCACAAUGGGCGCAAGCCUGAUGCAGCCAUGCCGCGUGUAUGAAGAAGGCCUUCGGGUUGUAAAGUACUUUCAGUCGUGAGGAAGGUGUUAAGGUUAAUAACCUUAGCAAUUGACGUUAGCGACAGAAGAAGCAUCGGCUAACUCCGUGCCAGCAGCCGCGGUAAUACGGAGGGUGCGAGCGUUAAUCGGAAUUACUGGGCGUAAAGGGCACGCAGGCGGUUAAUUAAGUUGGAUGUGAAAUCCCCGGGCUUAACCUGGGAAUGGCAUUCAAGACUGGUUAGCUAGAGUCUUGUAGAGGGGGUAGAAUUCCAUGUGUAGCGGUGAAAUGCGUAGAGAUGUGGAGGAAUACCGGUGGCGAAGGCGGCCCCUGGGACAAGACUGACGCUCAUGUGCGAAAGCGUGGGGAGCAAACGAGGAUUAGAUACC